rnacentral:rRNA from 1 species
CCUACGGGAGGCAGCAGUGGGGAAUAUUGGGCAAUGGGCGCAAGCCUGACCCAGCAACGCCGCGUGAAGGAAGAAGGCUUUCGGGUUGUAAACCUCUUUUAAGAGGGAAGAGCAGAAGACGGUACCUCUUGAAUAAGCAACGGCUAACUACGUGCCAGCAGCCGCGGUAAUACGUAGGGGGCAAGCGUUGUUCGGAUUUACUGGGUGUAAAGGGCGUGUAGCCGGGCUGACAAGUCAGUUGUGAAAUCCGGGGGCUCAACCCCCGAACUGCAUUUGAAACUGUUAGUCUUGAGUAUCGGAGAGGCAGGCGGAAUUCCUGGUGUAGCAGUGAAAUGCGUAGAUAUUGGGAGGAACACCAGUGGCGAAGGCGGCCUGCUGGACGAUAACUGACGGUGAGGCGCGAAAGCGUGGGGAGCAAACAGGAUUAGAUACCCGUGUAGUC